GACGAACGCUGGCGGCGUGCUUAACACAUGCAAGUCGAACGGAAAGGCCCUGCUUUUGUGGGGUGCUCGAGUGGCGAACGGGUGAGUAACACGUGAGUAACCUGCCCUUGACUUUGGGAUAACUUCGGGAAACUGGGGCUAAUACCGGAUAGGAGCUCCUGCUGCAUGGUGGGGGUUGGAAAGUUUCGGCGGUUGGGGAUGGACUCGCGGCUUAUCAGCUUGUUGGUGGGGUAGUGGCUUACCAAGGCUUUGACGGGUAGCCGGCCUGAGAGGGUGACCGGCCACAUUGGGACUGAGAUACGGCACAGACUCCUACGGGAGGCAGAAGUGGGGAAUAUUGCACAAUGGGCGGAAGCCUGAUGCAGCACCGCCGCGUGCGGGAUGACGGCCUUCGGGUUGUAAACCGCUUUCGCCUGUGACGAAGCGUGAGUGACGGUAAUGGGUAAAGAAGCACCGGCUAACUACGUG
rnacentral:rRNA from 1 species